UACGUAGGGACCGAGCGUUGUCCGGAAUCAUUGGGCGUAAAGAGCGUGUAGGCGGCUUGCUAAGUCUUGCGUGAAAUCUCGGGGCUCAACCCCGAGCGGUCGUGGGAAACUGGCAGGCUAGAGUGCGGGAGAGGAGAAUGGAAUUCCUGGUGUAGCGGUGAAAUGCGCAGAUAUCAGGAAGAACACCCGUGGCGAAGGCGGUUCCCUGGAACGCAACUGACGCUGAGACGCGAAAGCGUGGGGAGCAAACAGG
rnacentral:rRNA from 1 species